rnacentral:rRNA from 1 species
UACGUAGGGUGCAAGCGUUAAUCGGAAUUACUGGGCGUAAAGCGUGCGCAGGCGGUUAUGUAAGACAGGUGUGAAAUCCCCGGGCUUAACCUGGGAACUGCAUUUGUGACUGCAUAGCUGGAGUUCGGCAGGGGAGACUGGAAUUCCUGGUGUAGCGGUGAAAUGCGUAGAUAUUGGGAAGAACACCAGCGGCGAAAGCGCUCUACUGGGCCGCAACUGACACUCAUGGACGAAAGCUAGGGGAGCGAAAGGG